AAUCAACGCUGGCGGCGUGCCUAACACAUGCAAGUCGAGCGAGAAAGGGGCUUCGGCCCUGAGUAAAGCGGCGCACGGGUGAGUAACACGUGGGUAAUCUGCCCUAGAGUGGGGAAUAACAUCGGGAAACCGAUGCUAAUACCGCAUACGAUCACGAGGUCUUCGGAUUUUGUGAUGAAAGGAGCAAUCCGCUCUUGGAGGAGCCCGCGGCUGAUUAGCUAGNGGUAAGGUAAUGGCUUACCAAGGCUACGAUCAGUAUCCGGUCUGAGAGGACGGUCGGACACACUGGAACUGAGACACGGUCCAGACUCCUACGGGAGGCAGCAGUGGGGAAUUUUGGCAAUGGGGGAAACCCUGACCAAGCAACGCCGCGUGGAUGAUGAAGUAUCUUGGUACGUAAAAUCCUUUCGACAGGGAAGAAACCCGCAAGGGUUGACGGUACCUGUAGAAGAAGCCCGGCUAACUCCGUGCCAGCAGCCGCCGUAAC
rnacentral:rRNA from 1 species